UAUAUAUAUAUAUAUAUAUGUUGCUUUCCUUUACUUUUAGUAAGAUCUGUAUAUUUAAUCGAGAAAGUUUAGUUCCUCUGCAAAUGUGUGUGCACAGAGGAGCUCCUUGUUCUUGGAGGGUUAAUUUUUUGGAUCCAUCAGUAGGAGUUUUCCCAGAUUCUGCUGCUACCAAUCGGUUUUGUCGUUGCUCUUUUCUUUCAUGCAGCAAAUGGAAUGACUGAGCCGAUAUUUACUCGGGAUUUUUUCUCUUCAAUAAUAAUUUCAUGCUGUUUGUGGGCCGAGUUUUUGUUUUGUUUUAAGGCCUUAAGAGCAAAAAUACGUGGUCAUUGAGUCUUUUUAUAGUUUUCAACUGGGCCGUUAAACUUUAUAAUAGGUUAUCUUGUACUAUUUUGGGCUGAAAACCCUUUCUGACAUGUCAGCAUUCUCUAUUUAGAAAAAAGAAAAAAGAAAAAAGAAGAAAAGGAAAUUGUAUUUAUUAUUUAAAAACAAAUAACAAUAACAUAUUAUAAUACAUUAAUGCAGUCCCCAGCGCGAAACGAAACGGCGUCGUCCACUCGACUUAUAAACGACGCUGCUUUAUACUGUUUCUUCAGCAUAAUCCCCGAGAAGUGCGCAAUUAGGGUUAGGGUUAGGGUUUUAGCUACUCCUUCCCUAUUUAAGUGGCGUAAGGACUCAAAACCUGCGGCACCCAUCUCAAUUCUCAACGGGAGCUUUACUGUUUCUUCCUUGUCUCAGUGACAUAUCAUCUUCUUCUUGUUUAUAACUCUAUUUCUUGUUUGAAGAUCUUCUGGCUGGAACCUGGGAGCACCAGCAAGUUGGAAUAUUAUGCAUUCAGGACAAAGCUUGAUAUGGGUAUGUAAGAUUGAAGCUUGCGUUUGAGCUCCAAAGUAAUAGCUAGCUAAUGUUGCAAGGAAGAAAGUGCACGGUGAAUACUUGGUGAACUGCGGGCUAGUAAUGUUGCUUAAUUGUUUUUUUUCAUGUAUUAGAUACAGUAUAAAGUUUUGCGUUUGAAUCACAGUAAGGAAUUGUAAUUUCUUGUACUAACAAUAUUGGAAAUUUUGCUUAAAAGAAAGAUUGGUGGUUUCUCGUUCUCCAUA